rnacentral:rRNA from 1 species
UACAGAGGAGCCAAGCGUUGUCCGGAUUGACUGGGCGUAAAGCGCACGCAGGUGGUCGUGCACGUGUCGUGUGAAAGCAGCUCGCUCAACGAGCUGAGGCAUGGCAGACUGCAUGGCUCGAGCCCGUGAGAGGUCGGUGGAAUUGCCGGUGUAGUAGUGAAAUACGUAGAGAUCGGCAGGAACACCCAGGGGGAAGCCAGCCGACUGGCACGGUGCUGACACUGAGGUGCGACAGCGUGGGGAGCAAACGGG